rnacentral:rRNA from 1 species
UACGUAGGGUGCAAGCGUUUGUCCGGAAUUAUUGGGCGUAAAGAGCGUGUAGGCGGCCCGGUAAGUCCGCUGUGAAAGUCGGGGGCUCAACCCUCGAAUGCCGGUGGAUACUGUCGGGCUAGAGUGCGGAAGAGGCGAGUGGAAUUCCUGGUGUAGCGGUGGAAUGCGCAGAUAUCAGGAGGAACACCAAUAGCGAAGGCAGCUCGCUGGGACGGUACUGACGCUAAGGCGCGAAAGCGUGGGGAGCGAACAGG